GGGGAAGAAGCAAAAUAGUAUAAAUUGAGGCAGAGCUUGUAACGGCUUCUCUCGAGCUCUUUACUUUCUUCUUCCGCGAGAGUUGCUCUUCUUUCCUUUCCUCUUCUUCAUCGUCUUCUACUUCCGUCGAUCCGGCUGUGGCGGCACCUGAUGGCGGCCGAUCGAGCUCGUCUACCCGCGCAUGUGAUUGCCAAGGCUUUCGCGAUUGAGUACUACCAUCUGCUUACCCGUACCCCUGAGUUUGUCUUCCGGUUCUACAAGGAGGGAAGCAUGCUCAGCCGGCCGGAUCCUCGAGGUGAAAUGACCUCCGUCAUCGGCAUGGAUGCGAUCAAUGAGGAGCUUCUUUCCGUGGACUACAGCGAGUACGAUGCCGUGAUAAAGACACUUGACGCGCAGGAAUCGCUUGAUGGCAGUGUUACGAUUCUUGUGACGGGGUACCUCACUGGGAAUGAUGGUGUCAAGAAAAACUUUACUCAGUCUUUUUUUCUGGCGACUCAGGAGACAGGAUACUAUGUUUUGAAUGAUAUAUUUCGUCUUCUUGAUGAGGCUAAUGAUCAACCGUCAGUUAGUGCUUGGACAAGUGGAGAUAGUGAACCUCUUGCUCCUGAACCGGCUGAGCAACUGGAACAAGAGAAACUGGAUGAAGCUGAAACUAUUGAUCCUUCAGCUGAGAUUUCUUGUAGUGUCAAGGAGGAAGUGCAAGCAGGAAAAGGGAUUGAUGAAAUUUCUAAAAGUUUGCAGGCAGUCACUCUGAAUCCUAGUUCUUCUACUACUCUGGAAGAGUCACCACCAAGCAAAUCAUAUACUUCUAUUGUUAACAUCAUGAAAGAGAAUCCUACUCCACCUGUUUCUCUGCCCGUUCCUUCUAAACCUGCAGUUGUAAGCAUUGGCCAACCAGCAUCACCAACUUCAAUACCAGCUCUUGUGAUUGAGAAUGCCUCUGGUAGUCCUAAUACCACCGAUAGCUACAGUAGUCCAGAACCAGAAGCUGUUGGCUAUUCAAUCCACUUAAGGAAUCUUCCUUUGAAUGUCACACCUGAACAACUACAUGAAGAAUUCAAGAAAUUUGGACCUAUAAAACCUGGCGGGAUACAAGUCAAACUUUUGAAGCAAAAUGGAAUUUGCUUUGGUUUUGUGCAUUUUGAAGUGGCUGAUGCUGUUGCAAGAGCAAUAGAGGCUUCCCCUAUAACAAUAGGAGGCCAGCCUACAUUUGUCGAAAAAUCAAGGUCUAGAAAUUCAAGAGCCAGCAACAGAGGCAUGUACAGAAAUGAGGGGAUUAGAUGGCGGAGAAGUGCUGGUGCCAUGAGAGGGUUUUAUGGCAGAAGCGAGAGCAGUAGGACUGACUUUGGCCACGGAGGUGGCAGUAGGUCAGGAUGAGGUUGAACCAAAGAAUUGAGCAAGGAUCAUCUGGUGGUCGAGGGAAUUGAUGUGGACCUACAAGUGAUGAAACAUGUGGCAUACCUCAAGCUUUGUUGGCUCCAUCCUUAAAUCGAAAGGCUACACCCUCUACAUGGCUAGCCACUUUUACUUUUGUCUCUGCAAGUGGGUGAUGAUGAAUCAAAACACCUGGAAACUUCAACAAGUGAUGAAGUCAGAGAGAAGUGUCUUAUCCUUUCGACUAUCCCUCAUUUCUGAAGAAAUUUGGUGUUGGCCUAGGGACAGGUUGGCAGGGGCGCUGGGGGCGAGCGAAUCGCCUUUUGCCACAUGAAGAAAUUUGCUUUAUUUAGAAAUCAAAGGAGAGCUGAUUUGGACAUGAGCCAACACAUAACGUGACCUACAUCGGAUGGGUCCUCGAAAGCAUACCACAAGAGAUCAUAGACACCCAUGAGCUGCAGACAAUUACUUUUGUUCACCGGCGAGAAUGCCAGCGCAAUGAUAUUGUGGAUUCGCUUGUAAGUCCAGAAUUUUCAGAUGAUGGUAGCACAAAUGGGGCUGUUGACUCCGACCCCCAUUUGAAUGAUCAAGAUCUACAAGAAUUCUUGCACUUGUUGAGAUUGUCCGGAAGUGGCCUCAAGAUAAUGGAGGCAGGACAGUGGAGGAAGCUGGCUCGCUGACGUUUUGGAUUAUGUACUCUAGCUCUCAGCAAAUAAAGAAUGGAGUUAAGCUUGUCGAGUUAUACUGGCAACUACUUUAAUCAUUUAUCUGGUGUUUCUUGGGACUUACUUUGAACUGAUAUUGGAAUUGAUUACUUUAUGAGGUAUGGCAUUAUCAUCUGUAUUAGAAUUUAAUUUGGUAUCUACCACAAAUAUGCUACAUUAUAUGAAGAAUUAUAUCUAAUUGCUCAUGAAAAAAUGAGUCCCA